rnacentral:piRNA from 1 species
UGCCAGCGGUUACUUGUUUUGGGUUGAAAAC